rnacentral:rRNA from 1 species
UACGGAGGGUGCAAGCGUUGUCCGGAUUUAUUGGGUUUAAAGGGUGCGUAGGCGGCUUAUUAAGUCAGGGGUGAAAGACUGCAGCUCAACUAUAGCAGUGCCUUUGAUACUGAUGAGCUUGAGUACAGAUGAGGCUGGCGGAAUGGGUGGUGUAGCGGUGAAAUGCAUAGAUACCAUCCAGAACACCGAUUGCGAAGGCAGCCGGCUAAACUGUAACUGACGCUGAGGCACGAAAGCGUGGGGAUCGAACAGG